ACAACUCAGGUCUGUGGUUGCAAGUCGAGGCCAGUUGCGGGCAAAACGAUCCACGUAAGCAAUCAAAGUAUUGUGAGCACGGCGCAGCUUAGAAGUAAGUCCUGCCGCAAAGGCGAGAGGGGUAGUAGUGGGGAGCUCUGAAAAGCUUAUGAGCGAACCCUCCAGCAGGCGAGUGUGGGGGCGAAAACCAGGUCAGCUGAGUUGU
rfam:Phascolarctobacterium sp. CAG:207 genomic scaffold, scf62